UGUUAGAAAGCAGCAUAUCAGCUUUUGGACAAGUACAAAUGAACCUUUGAAUAGGUUGUUUCAAAUGCCAAGGAAGAAGAGAGAAUGCAAGAAACAGCAAUAUCCUUAACGUCUACUUAAGGCAUUAUUAUAUAUUUGUUCAUGAUAGCUUACAGCUCCAUUGAAGAGCACAUAUAUAUAAAAAGCAAUUAAAGAAAACGCUGCCCCAGAUCUAAUUUUAGUGCAACAGAAGGGAACAACUGGCACAGGUAUGAAAAAGCAUCUUUACUAACUCUUGAAAGGAGACUACAGCCAAAAAUUAAAUUGGGCAACUGUGAACACACAAGGUUUUCGAUUCUGCACUGCAAGUUGACAGCAUGACCAAGAAAGAGACAAAUGACAAACAUCUCUUUGUUCAAUUUUAUGCCUGUACAAUGGUACACAUUAGGUUAUGGUGACAACAAAUGAGUUUGAACAUUAUUUGGGCGCUUCAUGUGCGAGAAAAGCCUGCAAAAGUUACCCGUUGCUAGCUAACUGUUUAUUGCUCAAAAGAAAAAAAUUACUAUAGUCCAUUAAAGAUAAACUAAAAGCUUAAAGUUCUCAUUUAUUUUGUAAUGCAGUGUAGCAGCCCCUUAUAUAGUUGUAAACAGCCAGCUGGCCCCAGGUAGAUGCUGCUGAAAUCUGUGAUGUCACAGGCACCUAGUACGGGAACUUCAAUGUGAUAUUUUUCUCUUUCAUGUUCUCUCCAAUGAACCAAAGCGCCGAUUGUGGCAAGACUGACCCAUUUGGCAUUCCAGAACUGUCGUCCACAAAUCUAGCUUAGCCUAAUCUUAAUUUUAGCAUCCCUUUACAUGUUUUCAUAUUGAGGGCAACUAUAGCUAUUUUAUUCAUAAGAUGACAACAAGCUUGCCUCAUCACGAUGACAUAGUCAUUGUCAUCAGCCCACUUUGUCCAUUACAGGACAAAGACCUCUCCCAGUGGUCUCCAAUUACCCUUGCCUCAUGUUGGCUAACUAUAUCCUGUGGCUGUUAACUUCCCAGUCUCAUCACACUAUCUCGUCCCCUUGUUUCCUUUCCAUGGCACCUAUUCUGUUGCUCUGGUAUAUAGCAUUGGCUAUCUGUUCUAUACAGUACUUAAGCUACCAAAUCCCACUACUUCCUCUUAAUCUCGGCUGGAAUAUCAGCUGCCCAUGUUUGCCCUCUAAAUCAUACCAACAUACCCUCAUUAUUCCCAGGCCAGCCUAACACAGCCAUCGACAGUGCCGAUGAAAGCACGAGAAGCAGGAACCACCGAAUCAGUAGCAUUUGUGAUAUGCAUAACGAGCGCUCGUCCUAUUGUCAAGAACAUGUUGACAACGACUCAACAUCAGCGUAUGCUGUGGAAUUGUUACACAAAUGGAGAUCUCUGGCAGAAAUACCAGAGACCAGACAUUAUCUUCUUUGAAGACUGGGCCAACCUGAACGACUAUAAAGUCCGAGACAUGCUGCUCUCCCUCUGGCAAUUUGCACAUAAGGUGGGCAUUUACCGUUGCAUGUGAUGGCCUUCCCUGAACCCCCCCCUCCACCCUUUUGAGGCUGACGAGCCAACCCAGUCCUAACAAAGAUGUUUCAUUCAUUCAUUCAUUCAUUCAUUCAUUCAUUCCCACUUCCAUCAAGAGUUGAGCAAUCUUUGGCUGCUUCUCAAGUUCUUUCGUUAUCUUGCAGGUUUGCACUUGCAGUUGGGGCCAACUGCAACAAAAUCUCACUUUGGUGAAGUUUAUUUCAAUGAAUAGUACAUACUAUUGAAGCAAUCCUGGCAAUUCUGCAGGCCUUGGAAUCAUCAAAUUUUCUUAUUGACAGCCUAAUAAAUAACAUCCACCAGAUGAUGCAUGCAACUGGGUGUUAGCGGAUGUGAUGAAAAUCCUAAACCAUGGCCUCCUAUGUUUUCAGAAGAUUGUGAGUGCCACCUAAUCUCGGAGAUGAUGCUGAGGAGCCAUGCUGGUUCACAGUGUUCCAGGUUCUACAUCAUUUCUGGUCAACACUGCAGUUCGAAGUGGCAGGAAAACAAAUGUGUUUCUACCAUUCAUAGACCGGCCACAGCGUCUGCCAUUUGCUUACACUGGCGCAUGUAAAUCUUGGGAACCACAGAGCGGCGCGCCUGGUUCCUUGCAACACCCCCUAUGGCACCUGCCUCCGCUGCAUCGCGGCCCCUGCAAGAGGCCGCGUUUCUACCAGGAAGCCCACCUUCGUGCAUAGCGUUCGCUGCCAGCGUUUCCUGGGCUUGAAUGACGAAGAAUAAUGUUAGUCAAGGUGCGACGACACUGCAGGCAGUGUUGCAAUGUUCGACAAUAAUUGGCAAUCCUGCCACACCACUCUCAUCUGUCGAUGGGCUGACUCAAGCGCAGUCUUAAUCAAGGUUUUCUCACUUGGCAUGAAUUAGUGGAAUAUUUCAGUAAGCUGCAAUACCAUGAGGGGGCUUCAAUUCGUGAUGAUUGCAGCGCAUGACACCAGGGAUGGCCGAAAUAAAAAGUCUGCUGCCAACAGUUACUAAAACGUACCUAUUAUUUUUAAUGCACCAAAUUUGCAAUCAGGGCACUACAACAAUACAGCCAAAUGAGAGCAUUUCCGUGUUCCAAGUUUACACAUGACAUGUUUCAAGUUCGCUAUGUUGAACAGACGAGGUCUGGAGUAAAGCUUCUGUCAAAAACUCGCUAAUAAAUUUGAUACAAACAACUAA